rnacentral:tRNA from 1 species
GGGCACAUAGCUCAGUUGGUAGAGCAGCUGACUCUUAAUCAGCGGGUCCAAGGUUCGAACCCUUGUGUGCCCACCA